UGGGAGUGGCGACUGGGGCCUGGGGCGCUGGACGCUGGGCGCAGACGCAGGGGCAGGGCGAUGGCGGCUGGCGGGUCACGGGUGGCGGCCUGGCGGGGUGGGUGGCCGAGAAGGGAACUUAGGUUAGGGAGUGAGAGUUAGCCCUUAGCCGGUUCACUGAUUUGGGCUUCUUUUCUUUGCUUCAUGGGCCAAAAACUGAAAAACACAACAUGUGAAAUUAUGAAUUAGUAUUUCGGGUAUCCAGUGGAUAUCCAUGGGUAAAAUAUACUAUCCAUACGCUACCCGACAUAUUUCGGGUACCCGACCCGAUAGGAUCCACGAGUGAGAUUUCAAACCCGUACCCAUAUCCACCGGGUACGAAACUCGUGGGUAUCCAUAUCCACGGGUCAAAUUCCCAUCCCUAGCUGGGCAACUCCCUCUGCCCUGUGGCCCUAGCCGUCAUCUCACUCACGUUUCGCCGUGUGGACCCCAGUGGUCAGGCCGACGCUUCCUUCUUCCUCGGAUCGUGGGACGCCGACUUCCGCGCGCCAUACCAACCGCGCGAGAACCGCGGGCUCUGGAGGAUCCACGACUUCCCCUCACGAUUCAUCCGCUCGGGAGAUAAAUACUCUCUCGGAGACUCGAAAAGCUACACGCACCUGUCUCUCUGCCAUCACCAGGACCUGUGAGCGAGUGAAGCCCUGCCGUCGCCACUAUCCUUCGCCGGCGACGUGGCUAGACUUCCGUGGUGAAACCCGAGUGCCUAUUGGGUGCAGAAAGGCUUCAGCUCCACCGAUUUGGCGAAUCUUGCCUCGGGGUUCCUCGUCGUAGUUACUCCUCCGUCGCGGAAGUCGCUGUACAGCGUGGCCAGUCGUCGCCCCAGCCCUUGGGUAUGAUCCUCAACCACCUUCGUCGCGUUUGUAGGAGUGUGUAGCACCUGUCCGUUGACCGUUGUGAUUCGGGGCACCGUAGCGCCGGGCGAGAGCUCGUCGGGCUCCUCCGCCAUGGCAACGCGGCGCCGCCGCCGUAGGGGGGGCGGCGUGCGGGGAAG
rnacentral:lncRNA from 1 species